UAGAGUUUGAUCAUGGCUCAGAUUGAACGCUGGCGGCAGGCCUAACACAUGCAAGUCGAGCGGAAACGACACUAACAAUCCUUCGGGUGCGUUAAUGGGCGUCGAGCGGCGGACGGGUGAGUAAUGCCUAGGAAAUUGCCUUGAUGUGGGGGAUAACCAUUGGAAACGAUGGCUAAUACCGCAUAAUGCCAAGGGCCAAAGAGGGGGACCUUCGGGCCUCUCGCGUCAAGAUAUGCCUAGGUGGGAUUAGCUAGUUGGUGAGGUAAUGGCUCACCAAGGCGACGAUCCCUAGCUGGUCUGAGAGGAUGAUCAGCCACACUGGAACUGAGACACGGUCCAGACUCCUACGGGAGACAGCAGUGGGGAAUAUUGCACAAUGGGCGAAAGCCUGAUGCAGCCAUGCCGCGUGUAUGAAGAAGGCCUUCGGGUUGUAAAGUACUUUCAGUUGUGAGGAAGGGGGUAGCGUUAAUAGCGCUAUCUCUUGACGUUAGCAACAGAAGAAGCACCGGCUAACUCCGUGCCAGCAGCCGCGGUAAUACGGAGGGUGCGAGCGUUAAUCGGAAUUACUGGGCGUAAAGCGCAUGCAGGUGGUUCAUUAAGUCAGAUGUGAAAGCCCGGGGCUCAACCUCGGAACUGCAUUUGAAACUGGUGAACUAGAGUACUGUAGAGGGGGGUAGAAUUUCA
rnacentral:rRNA from 1 species